GAUGAACGCUGGCGGCGUGCCUAAUACAUGCAAGUCGAGCGAACAGACGAGGAGCUUGCUCCUCUGACGUUAGCGGCGGACGGGUGAGUAACACGUGGAUAACCUACCUAUAAGACUGGGAUAACUUCGGGAAACCGGAGCUAAUACCGGAUAAUAUAUUGAACCGCAUGGUUCAAUAGUGAAAGACGGUUUUGCUGUCACUUAUAGAUGGAUCCGCGCCGCAUUAGCUAGUUGGUAAGGUAACGGCUUACCAAGGCAACGAUGCGUAGCCGACCUGAGAGGGUGAUCGGCCACACUAGAACUGGGACACGGUCCAGACUCCUACGGGAGGCAGCAGUAGGGAAUCUUCCGCAGUGGGCGAGAGCUUGACGGAGCAACGCCGCGUGAGUGAUGAAGGUCUUCGGAUCGUAAAACUCUGUUAUUAGGGAAGAACAAAUGUGUAAGUAACUAUGCACGUCUUGACGGUACCUAAUCAGAAAGCCACGGCUAACUACGUG
rnacentral:rRNA from 1 species